rnacentral:rRNA from 1 species
AUUGAACGCUGGCGGCAGGCCUAACACAUGCAAGUCGAGCGAGCGGCGGACGGGUGAGUAAUGUAUGGGGACUGCCCGAUAGAGGGGGAUAAGUACUGGAAACGGGGGCUAAUACCGCAUACUAUCGGAUAACCCAUAUGGGAUUAGCUAGUUGGUGGGGUAAAGGCUCACGUAGGCGACGAUCCCUAGCUGGUCUGAGAGGAUGUUCGGCCACACUGGGCCUGAGAAACGGCCCAGACUCCUACGGAGGCAGCAGUGGGAAAUAUUGCACAAUGGGCGCAAGCCGGAUGCAGCCAUGCCGCGUGUAUGAAGAAGGCCUUAGGGUUGUAAAGUACUUUCAGCGGGGAGGCGUUACCCGCCGAAGAAGCACCGGCUAACUCCGUGCCAGCAGCCGCGGUAAUUC